rnacentral:sRNA from 1 species
GCUGGGUGCAGUGGCUCACACCUGUAAUCUCAGUGGCUCCGGAGGCUGAGGCAGGAGGAUCAUGAGAUCAGACUGAGCCUCAGCAAAAGUGAGACAGUAAGCAACUCAGUGAGACCCUGUCUCUA